GUAGUUGACUCCUGGCUACAGAACACGCUGGCGGCAGGCCUAACACAUGCAAGUCGAACGCCCUGGCAACAGGGAGUGGCAGACGGGUGAGUAACGCGUGGGAAUCUACCUUGUGGUACGGAACAACCAAGGGAAACUUUGGCUAAUACCGUAUGAGCCCUUUGGGGGAAAGAUUUAUCGCCAUAAGAUGAGCCCGCGUAGGAUUAGCUAGUUGGUGAGGUAAUGGCUCACCAAGGCGACGAUCCUUAGCUGGUCUGAGAGGAUGACCAGCCACACUGGGACUGAGACACGGCCCAGACUCCUACGGGAGGCAGCAGUGGGGAAUAUUGGACAAUGGGCGCAAGCCUGAUCCAGCCAUGCCGCGUGUGUGAUGACGGCCUUAGGGUUGUAAAGCACUUUCGCCGAUGAAGAUAAUGACUGUAGUCGGAGAAGAAGCCCCGGCUAACUUCGUG
rnacentral:rRNA from 1 species